GCCAAGCGGUUGUGAAGAACUUGCCUUAACAUUGGCUUUGUAGUAGCUUCUGAGAGUAGGAUGAGAGAAGAAGUCAUCAUCAGAGGUUAAAUUCAGGCCAGCCUCUUUUCCCCAUUUGACAUACUGUGCUUUGCCACCAUAUCCUUCCCAAUUGUUGACUAAUGACAAUAUGAGCCUGAUUUUGUACUUCCUUGCUUCACUCACAACAAAAUCCAGGGCCUGCAACAAUGAAUGCUCAAUGGUUUGAUCAUUCUAUUAGGAUACAAAAUACUUAUAUAAGUUUCUAGAUCGUGUUUAACAAAUUGAAGUGAACCCCUGGAGAUGGAGCCUUGAAAACCGGCUAUCAAGUGGGGGGGUGGCGGCGGUGCCCAAAUGCUUAUAACUCCAACCACUAAGCCUUAGCUUAGCUCAGCAAUGUGGGACUCAACUGGGUUGAUACAACAAAGGAUGAAUCCAAUGCCACUUGCUUUUUCCUAUAAAUAGAAUUCACCUUCAUAUACACAAAUCGGAAUUCAUCCUUUCUUCUAUAAACUCAACAUCAAAUAGAGCAGCAGAAGAUGGAAUUGCCUGAUAUGUAUAUUGGCUAUGGUGAUGGGCCCAAAGAGCAAUAAAAUCCACAAGCAAGAAAACUGAGAUUUGUACAGUGAAGAGUACCUUGAACACCUCUUCAUCAUAAACAGAGGGAGACUUCUGAAGAGCUCUCCACUGGCCAUCAUUGAAAGCCAAGGUCCUGCACACAGUUAAGCCCACAGAGGCUGCUUGUUGAAACACCUCACUGACCUUCCCCCUUGUGGAUUGAUCCACAGCAAAUACCAUCAACCAGUAAGUGUUGAACCCGUUCACAUAAAAAGGCUUACCAUUAACCACAAAUUGGUUGCCUUUCUUCUGCACCAUUGUCCAUGGCUCAUCUCCAAGGUCACCCAUCUCAUAAACCCUAUACCCAUGUCAAAAAAAAAAAAAAAAAUCAAACCAAAAUGUAAAAAAAGAAAAAAAGAACAAAAACAUGAAUUCAAAUUGUGGGUACCCAUAAUUAGAGCUAGAAUAUGAAAGGUGAUCAGCUACAUUCUCCACCAAUGUCUCCAAAUCCUCAUCCCCACUGACCCCAACGGCAGUGGAACUUGAACUUUGAAAAAGAAUCAUAAAAAUGGCAACUGAAAAAAAUAUUUUAGACCCAGGUUUUCCCACAUAGGUAUCCAUGUUUUUUGAGUCAGUGAGCUACAUUUUGCAGUUUUCUGGACUCCAUAUUUAUAUGUAUAGAUGUCCAAGGUUUCCCCAUUGUGGGUGACAGAACUGUGACACAUAAGAAGAGUGUUGAAGAGGGGAUGACCUGUCUACCUUUGAAGCAAAGAAAAUUUUCUUUCAUUGCUUGGCCAUUGGCUUCUCUUAGAGGAAUGGAUACACACAAAAUGAAGAGUUGGUGUGAAGGGUUAAUGCUGCAAACAUCACUGUCAUUGGCUUCUCUCCAAUUUUAUGGCAGGUUUUGCAGCUUCUCUUAGGCUGCAAAACCCAAUCUAAGGGCAUAACGAUCAUUUAACAUUUCAAACCUAAAGGUUCAAAGUGGAAACAACACAAUAUUUAUCUUAUAACUAAAAAUUAUCAAUUACUAAUUUCUUGUUUAGAAUAGUAAAAUAAAUAAAUUUUAUGAUCCUCAAUUCUCAAUUUUAAAAAUUAACAUAUCAAUCAUAAUGUUAUUAUCCAAAUAACUCAAAAUUCAAAUAAUUUAAACAGGAAUUAAAUUUUAACAUCUAAGCAAUGUUCAAAAUAAAGUUUGAACUAAAAUCCUAACAAAGAAAAAUUCUCCAACCUAACCAUCACUCAUCACUCGAAUUAAGAGUAUGUGAAAAAUUAUCAAUAAAGGGGCAUGAGCUUAAAACUCAAUAAGGAAUAUUAAUACAGUUUCAUGGAUAAAACAUUUUCAAUCAUGCUUGUAAAUAGGAGAUAUAAUGUAUAUAUAUUUUCAUAACAAUUUUUGAGUUCAAAAUACUAAUACAUUCAAAUUUUUCAACAAAACUUUUUCAUAUUUAUUUCAAAACAAUUUCUCAUCAAAACCGAAUAAAAUACAUUCAAAAUAUCUUUACUCUGGUUAUUGUACGACAAAUGAUGCCUAAUUAGGUGAGACUUCACAAUUGUGUAACUAGUUUCAAAUUUGUUCCAUUUAAAGUGAACAAAACCAAAUAUCAACAAUUAUAACCCGUUGACUAGAGUCAUCUGAUAUUAAUUAUUAUAACUCGUUAACUAGUGUCAUGUAAUUCAAAGUCAAACACUUUAUUUCAUUAAUUCAAACUUAUAAAAAAAAAAAUCAUAUCUCCUCAAUUUUUCACUUUUCAUAAACAAAGAAAAUUCUCAAAUACAUUUUUCAUACAAAACACAUAUUUAAUCAAUGCGAAAAGAUAAAAAUAAUAUUUUUACACAUUUCAAAAUACAAUAUAAAAAAAAUUAUUUUCUUUUAUAAAAAUUUGCAUUAAUUUCCCUUACUUUGAAGAAGCGCUAAAAACUUGAAGUAUUUAGCUUGACGAAUUUACUCCUCACCUUACAUAAUAUCAUAUACAAUUAUCCAAAGGUAAAAGUUUGACAAUCCUAAAAAUAUUUUAUUUAGUAUUAGGGAUCCUAAUUAAUUUCUCAUGCUAAUAUUAUUACUACCCAAUAUUAUUUCAACUUCUUAAACAAUAAUAAUAUAAUUUAAUGAAUUUCCAUAUUUUUUUUAUAAACUCAUAUUUCUUCCAAAUCUUAUUCUAACAAUUUAUUUCUUUUGUAUACUUCAACUAAAUUAAAACUUUUAUUAAAAACAAUUACUAUUAUUAUUACUAUAUUUUUUGAUACCCCACAACAUCCAAACAACCCUAGUGUACGUCACUCACAAGCAUCCAAAUCACACAAUUCUUACUAUUGUUAUUAUUAUCAUUAUUAAUAUUAAUAUAAUUAUUAUCAUUAUUCUUAUUAACCCCAAUGUCCCUCUUACUUAACAAAAUACCUCAUAUGCUUUUAACAAACUCCAACAACCCCACCAACUUUACUCAUUAUUAUUAUUUUAAUUUAUUCCACUACCACCUUUGCCACUCAUAGUAUUAUAUUAUUGUUAUUUUUUUUUGUCACCCGACACAAUGCCUCAAAUCCAAAAUCCAGAAAUAUGUAAUUCUUCUUCUUAUUGUUUUCCAAUCCCUUAAGCCACAUAUAAUCAUAUAUUUAUUUACUCAUUUAAUUUUUGAAAUUUCAUUGUUUAGAUCUAUUCAUCUAAAAAAAAUUUCGAAUUUCCCUAUUUUCAUCAAUGAAAUAACCUAUAUUCAUAAUUUCAAUUUUUUGAUUUUAAAAUAAAUUAACUAAACUAACCCUAAUCUAAAUUAAGAUUUUCUAAAAAAUAUCUAAUAUAUUUUUUUUUGUCACCCGACACAAUGCCUCAAAUCCAAAACCCAGAAAUAUGCAAUUCUUCUUCUUAUUGUUUUCCAAUCCCUUAAGCCACAUAUAAUCAUAUAUUUAUUUACUCAUUUAAUUUUUGAAAUUUCAUUGUUUAGAUCUAUUCAUCUAAAAAAAAUUUCGAAUUUCCCUAUUUUCAUCAAUGAAAUAACCUAUAUUCAUAAUUUCAAUUUUUUGAUUUUAAAAUAAAUUAACUAAACUAACCCUAAUUUAAAUUUAAAUUUUCUAAAAAAUAUCUAAUGUGUUCAAAACUAACUAACAAAUAUAAUAUAUUAAUUUAUGAUUAAAAUCUUACAUGGAAAAAUUUAAACUUCAAAUUCUAAACUUUCAAACCUUUAGCCCUAUGUUCUCCAAUUUUCUGAUUUUUAGUUAAUAAAGUUUUUUGAAUAAAGAAGACACGAGGAAAAUCUAAUUUAUACCAAGGAUUAUUAAUGAUAAAAUGACUUUUUUUACCUUUAAUGAGUUUAAUGAAUUAAUUAAUUUGUAAUUUACUAUUUUGUUCCUAAAGUUUAUUUUGGGUGUUACCAUUUCUGUUUCUCCCCUCCCCCCAACCCCCAUAUGCUAGAAUGGAACUGAUGGUUUUUUGAACAAAGAAUCCUGAGUCUUUGGAGUAGAACAUAUCAAUUGUAUGUUAUGGUGCUAAAGUGGGGUUUAUAAUUGUAUUUGCAGCUCAAUAGUCCUGUCCUGAUCCGUUUGAUAUGUAUUCUACUGGCAUUGUACUGAUGCAAAUGGCAGUACCAAGUUUGAGGUCUACAGCAGGCUUAAAGAAUUUCAAUUUAGAAUUAAAAACAGUGGGGUAGGACUUGAAAAGAUGGAGGGAGUACACUUGGUUCAAGCCUGACUUGACUGUUCUUGAUCUAGACUCAGGCAGAGGGUGGGAUCUGGCUACUAAACUUAUUUCAGAGAGGGGUUCCCUCAGAAGUGGUCGUUUAUCAGCUGCUUUAGCGCUUAGGCAUCCUUAUUUCUUGCUGGGUGGUGACCAGGCUGCUGCUGUUCUUUCAAAACUAAGCCUGACCCUACAAAUGCUAGCAUCCGUUUAAUAUCUUCGAAUGAAUUUUUUUAAUGCCUAAAAACAUUUUUCUGAUAAUUAAAGUAUGAAGAAAAGGGGUUUUGGAUAUAUUUAAAGUAUGGGAAAUGACUAUAAUACAUUUAAAAAAAUGGAAAAUUGAAGAAAAUAUUGAAAAAUGAAAGCAAAAAUGUAAUAUUAUGGGUGGAUAUUCAAACAUCCACACUCAGUUCAAAUGCGUCCUUGUGGGAUGUUGGAAUGUUGACUGUUUUGUUUAGUUUUUUAAGCCCUAUUUUUAUAUUUUCAAUGGACAUUUUGGUAGAUUCACCUUAUAAAAACCUACUUUGAAAUAUCCCUUUAGAGUAUUGACAUAAAAAUCUAAUUUUUUGGACUAAAAUCUCUGAUGGUGCUCUAAGUACUCUUUUAACUCUCAAAAAACUUUGAAGGCCCUUCUUAGAAGUCCUUUGAGUGGAGAGACAAGUUGCAUCAAGGUGAUUUACCUCCUGUAGCUCUAGACAAGAAGAGACAAAUGCCAAGCAAGAAUGAGAUAAGAUUGACAAAGAAGGCAAUGAGGCCUUGAUCUUGAUGAAUUUAAAAGCAUAGCAACAUGUAGAUAUAUGCUAAAAAAAAUAUGAGAUAUAUUAAUUAUAGCUUAUAAGAGUACUUCUACUAUAAAGUUAUCUAAAUGGUAGGUAUUGCUUGCCUAAUUUAGAAGCAAGCAUUAGAAUGAAUGAAGAUAAAACAUUUUUUGAAUUUUAUGUUGAAUUAAGUGAUAUUAUGAAUUUAUGUUUUAACUUGGGUGAAAAAAAAAAUUCCAAAUUCGAAGGUAAUUAGGAAAAGUUGGUCUGACAUACAUAAAAAAAAAAAAAAAAAAAAAAAAUGUCGAUGCAUUGAGAGUGAAUGAGUUUGCAGUUCCUUACUAGUCUAUAAGAUAACUUGAGUUUAAAGAUGAAAGAGAACUAAUUCUUACUUAAUUUAAAAUCUUUAUUUUUGCCAAGACAUUUAAGACACAUAAAACUCCGGGAAAAUAAUAAAUAAUAAAGAAGGAGUUCAUAUGAAUCAAAUCAAAUUGAGUGUUUUAGUUAUGAUAGUCCUAACUUCAAAGAGAAUAAAAAAACCCAUGCAAGUGAUUUAUAAUAAUUUUUAUUUUCGUAAAAAUGAACAAGAUGAUUCUAAUGAAAUUGAUGAUAACCCCCAUUUUGUUGUAUCAACUAAAAUAGGGUUUGAAAAUAAAGUUGAUUUUGAUGAUAAAGAGGAAAGAGAAUUUAAUAAUUUAUAUGCCCUUUAAAUAAAAGUAAUUCAGGGGAUGCAUAUAUUAAAUAAUGAAAAUUCCAUGUUUGGGAAAACUUCAUCUUGACACCAUCGAAGUGGUAAGUGUCAUGGGUAACUCUUCAAAAAGUUUCAAUCUCAUGCUAAUAGGCCAGUGACCUUAAAAAUCAGAUUUUUAAAAUUAAAAUAAAGUAGCAUCUUUAAAAAAUUUGAAUGGCCAUCAAGUUUCAUGCCUUUAGUUUUGAAAAUAAAAAUAAAAAUAAAUAAAAUCUUUUUUAUUUCACGUAGAAUAUGUAUAAAAAAAUGACAUUCUCGACAAACAAGUUUUUGAGAGUUCUACCUCUUUGUCACGCCCCUUAUACCCAUUCCAAGGGCAUGAUGGUCGGUUCAUGCUUCAAAUCCGAAGCUUUUAAAGUAUGAAUUGACUCAAAAAUUGGACCUGGGGCCAGCUUAGUUUGAUCCAAUGUACCAUCAAACUGGGCAAUAGACUCUUUCUUAAUCACAAACCAAACUCUUAACUGUAAACAUCAAUCUGCAAUUGGGUAUAACCCAUUUUUAUGUUCAUAGACAGACCAACAUGCAUAAUUAUACAGAGAUACACACAAGUAUUAUGAUCAUAGAUAUUGAUCGAUCUUCAUUUCCAUGAAAUUGGACUUGUCUUUCUUAUAUAUGGGCUCUAGAGAUCAUCAUGGAAGAGAAAUGCAUCCAAAGGGUGCUUCUUAUGGCAACUCCAGCGGCAGUUCCAGGCACACAUGGAGUUGAACAUCAUCAGCCUUGUGGACUGAAGAGCGAUGACAUUUGAAGUUGAAGGAGACUUGGAGAGAACAAUGGCAUACCCGUCGUCCAUGUAGUCUGCUCCAUCAGGGAACAGCUGCCACAAGAGGCUCCCAGCUCCGCUCCCUCCCUUCUUGGUAGAAUUCAGGAGGAUCUUGUACACUGUGCUGAUGAAGGUGUCGCGGAAUGAUGAGUUGUAGCCAUUGUCUUUUGAAGAUACACCAAACUCACCAAACACAACGGGCAUUCCCAGGUACUUCUCACUGUCCUCUAUGUGGGCUUGCAUCCAUGAUUUGGUGAAGUCGAGAUGGGCCUCAGUGAUCGAUUGAGAAAUCCUCCAUCAACAAAUGAAACCGUUAGUGAUGCCAGAAGAAAAAUGGCAUGCCUAUGAUUAAUGUAAAUAGGCAUGAAGCUGGAUUUGUUUUAAAUUCAUGCCAGAUAUCGCUCAAAAAUUUGCAUAGGUGUUGAACACUCACCAAGAGUCUGUAUAAAUGUGAACUGAAGCAAAAUCGACACCAAGAACCUGAUGGUUUCUGAUAAAGUCAGUUCCAACUUGUUGAGCAUAUGUAUUCGGGUUGAAUUGAACUUUAUCUGGUGUUGAAGGACCAUAAAAUCCUUCCAAUCCUAUCUCCAGCAAGUGCUUUGGAUCCAUACUCUUCACAUAGAUCACCAUCUCUUGUAUCCAUGACUAGAAACAAUAGCAAUCAGUUACUUCAGGAAAAAAAAAAAGCCCAUUGGAAAAUCCAAUUCUCAAACACUGGCAAGUAAAAGCAUAAUUUUGGAAUUACAGAGCUAUAACUAAAGCUAAUUUUAUUUGUCACAGAAAAAGGUUUGAUGCAUCUGAUUGAUCGGUUCUUAGCCUUCAUAGAACAAACCUGCAGUUUAUCCCCUGUAGGAUCUGAAGUACAUCGUGGCUCAUUCAUCAGUUCCCAAGCAAAUAUUGUUGGGUCCUCCUUGUAAGUGAUAUUUGUGAAUGUAUUGACUCUAUUGAGAACCGUCUGCAUAGACAAAAUAUUGAAGAGAAAUAGAAAUCAUACUUCAAAUUGGGAAAGAGAGCACAUCUAUGGCGUGAUUAUUUUUCAAGUUGGAUAUCCAAGUUUUAAAGCAAAAGAUGGCCGAGCGGUUGUGAAGAACUUGCCUUAACAUUGGCUUUGUAGUAGCUUCUGAGAGUAGGAUGAGAGAAGAAGUCGUCAUCAGAGGUUAAAUUCAGGCCAGCCUCUUUUCCCCAUUUGACAUACUGUGCUUUGCCACCAUAUCCUUCCCAAUUGUUGCUUAAUGACAAUAUAAGCCUGAUUUUGUACUUCCUUGCUUCACUCACAACAAAAUCCAGGGCCUGCAACAAAGGAUAUUUUCAGGGGGAAAAAAUGAACAAAAAUCUUAGCUACACAGUGAAUGCUGAAUAGUUUGAUCAUUCUUCUAGGAUGCAAAAUGCUUAUAUAAGUUUCUAGAUCAUGCUUAACAAAUUGAUGUGAACAUGGAGAUGGAUGAAGCCUUGAAAACCGUCUAUCACGGGGAGGGUGCCCAAGUGCUCAUAAGUUCAACUGCUAAGCCUUAGCUUAGCAAUGUGGGACUCAACUGGGUUGAUACAAAGGAUGAAACCCAAUGCCACUUGCUUUUUCCUAUAAAGAGAUUUCUCCUUCACAUAUACAACUUGGAAUUCAUCCUUGCUUGAGGUUGUUGCUUCUAUAAGCUCAACAUCAAACAGAGAAGCAGAAUAUGGAAUAGCAUGAUAUGUGCAGUGUCCAUGGUGAUGGGCACAAGAGCUAUAAAAUCCACAAGCAUGAAAAUUGAGAUUUGUUCAGUGAAGAGUACCUUGAACACCUCUUCAUCAUAAACAGAGGGGGACUUCUGAAGAGCUCUCCACUGGCCAUCAUUGAAAGCCCAGGUCCUGCACACAGUUAAGCCCACAGAGGCUGCUUGUUGAAACACCUCACUGACCUUCCCCCUUGUGGAUUGAUCCACAGCAAAUACCAUCAACCAGUAAGUGUUGAACCCGUUCACAUAAAAAGGCUUAUCAUUAACCACAAAUUGGUUCCC
rnacentral:lncRNA from 1 species